rnacentral:lncRNA from 1 species
UUUGUGUUCGCCUCCCCUCCCGCUACGGGCCCUGCGGGCCUUCCUUCUCUCUGCUGCUUUCCCUCCAUUCAAAAGUUUGUUUACAUCUCUUAUCAAACCGGUCAAAGCACUCUGCGAUUGCUCUGUGUCAUCAUUAAUCUUCAAGUUAAUUUCACAGUAAAUCUUUUCUUUAUCUUUAUUUACGUAGACACAUCCGCUCUCUAACUCAGUUCUUCAGGUGUGUGCUUAAAAUCAAUCACUAGUCUGCUUUAACGAGAGAAAGUUCGAAAUCUUCUUUUCACAGAUUAGUUUCUUUCAUGUCACAAGCCAAACCAAGUGCUUCAGCAAUUUUGUCUCGUCCUGUCUGGAAGUUGUGAAACUGUUACUUGCAAUUGCAGUGUCCGUGGCAAUUACGAUUAUUCAUCAACGUUCAUACUAUUCAAGCUGUGGACUUUCAUCAGUGGAUCAGUCAAAGACACUGUUGUAGCCUUUGUGGAAUGUGUAAUGAAUAAUUUAAAGCUGAAGAGGUUAGCGGCUAACCAAUGGAUACGAAAAUCUUCACUCACUCAGUUUCAGCCCAAGGUGCUCAAAGUUAUUGCUUGCCUCAUCUCCAGCCCAAUGAUCAGUGUCAUUUUUUUCCUAUAUGACUAA